AAAAAUGGAAAAGAAGUAUUCAUUGCAAUGGACGCCGUCUUCAAGAUUGGAUAAAGGCAUGCUGGUGGUAGAUAGCUCCGUGUUUCCUGGGAAGGACAUCUACCAAGCAGACCCACCUAGGAUAAGGGGACAGAGGGAAAACCCAACAAGCCCAGAGUGAACAAAGAAAAACAUAACUGCCCUGUGACCUUCUGCCAUGAUGUCUGAGGCCCUCAUCUGAAAAUUGUUAGUUGUUCAUCUCUGGCAUGUUACUUUUAAAAUUCAGUGAUAAUAAAAAUGGAUUUUAUCAUAUGGCAACAACCCAUGUAAUGGAACCUGUCUAAGAAGAAACAUAUGGUAUCGUGUAUGGAGAUAAAUUCUGCUAACAUCUGGGACAAGUGAAUUAUGACAGUGAAAUCCUUGAUUGAAGCUACCAGUCAU